ACGGGUGAGUAAUGCCUAGGAAUCUGCCUGGUAGUGGGGGACAACGUCUCGAAAGGGACGCUAAUACCGCAUACGUCCUACGGGAGAAAGCAGGGGACCUUCGGGCCUUGCGCUAUCAGAUGAGCCUAGGUCGGAUUAGCUAGUUGGUGAGGUAAUGGCUCACCAAGGCGACGAUCCGUAACUGGUCUGAGAGGAUGAUCAGUCACACUGGAACUGAGACACGGUCCAGACUCCUACGGGAGGCAGCAGUGGGGAAUAUUGGACAAUGGGCGAAAGCCUGAUCCAGCCAUGCCGCGUGUGUGAAGAAGGUCUUCGGAUUGUAAAGCACUUUAAGUUGGGAGGAAGGGUUGUAGAUUAAUACUCUGCAAUUUUGACGUUACCGACAGAAUAAGCACCGGCUAACUCUGUGCCAGCAGCCGCGGUAAUACAGAGGGUGCAAGCGUUAAUCGGAAUUACUGGGCGUAAAGCGCGCGUAGGUGGUUUGUUAAGUUGGAUGUGAAAUCCCCGGGCUCAACCUGGGAACUGCAUUCAAAACUGACAAGCUAGAGUAUGGUAGAGGGUGGUGGAAUUUCCUGUGUAGCGGUG
rnacentral:rRNA from 1 species